rnacentral:sRNA from 1 species
ACUAUGAGAAAGAUGAACAGCCAUAAUUAUGUCUCUACAUUUUGAAAUAGCAUUUGAUCAAUACUGUAGAUUAUGACAACCUUAAGCACUAGAGAUAUAAACAGAAUUACAGAGAUGUGGCAUACAGACAGGCAGUUGGCUCUAAGGAUCUGUCAUCUUCUUAGAAGAAAGAGAAGAGUAGUACCCCUUGUGUUGUUUUCCCUAGUCAAAGUUAUGCAGGCAUUAAAAUAGCCUUGAUUUUGAUCAAUGUACUGAUAAGUAAUAAAUGUGAAGUGCACAAAAACA